CCUACGGGUGGCAGCAGUGGGGAAUAUUGCGCAAUGGGCGAAAGCCUGACGCAGCGACGCCGCGUGAGGGAUGAAGGUCUUCGGAUCGUAAACCUCUGUCAGCAGGGAAGAACGGUCACUGUGCUAAUCAGCAGUGAAUUGACGGUACCUGCAAAGGAAGCACCGGCUAACUCCGUGCCAGCAGCCGCGGUAAUACGGAGGGUGCGAGCGUUAAUCGGAAUUACUGGGCGUAAAGCGCUCGUAGGCGGUAUGUCAAGUCAAGGGUGAAAUCCCCGCGCUCAACGUGGGAACUGCCUUUGAAACUGGCAAGCUUGAGUGUGUGAGAGGGCGGCGGAAGUCCUGGUGUAGGAGUGAAAUGCGUAGAUAUCAGGAGGAACAUCAGUGGCGAAGGCGGCCGCCUGGCACAAAACUGACGCUGAGGUGCGAAAGCGUGGGUAGCAAACAGGAUUAGAUACCCUAGUAGUC
rnacentral:rRNA from 1 species